GGCUCAUCGCAUCCUGGGGCUGGAGAAGGUCCCAAGGGUUUGGCUGUUCGCCAAUUAAAGCGGUACGUGAGCUGGGUUUAGAACGUCGUGAGACAGUUCGGUCCCUAUCUGUUGCGGGCGUAGGAUAUUUGAGGGGUGCUGCUCUUAGUACGAGAGGACCGGAGUGGACGAACCUCUAGUGUGCCAGUUGUCACGCCAGUGGCACGGCUGGGUAGCUAUGUUCGGACGGGAUAAGCACUGAAAGCAUCUAAGUGCGAAGCCCACCCCAAGAUGAGAUAUCCCUUGCCGAUUCGUCGGCACUGAAGGCCCCUUGUAGAUGACGAGGUUGAUAGGCCACAGGUGUAAGUGCAGCAAUGUAUUUAGCUGAGUGGUACUAAUUGGCCGUGAGGCUUAACCAA
rnacentral:rRNA from 1 species